UGAUAAGCCUCCACUCUUGAGCU
rnacentral:snRNA from 1 species